rnacentral:rRNA from 1 species
GACGAACGCUGGCGGCGUGCUUAACACAUGCAAGUCGAACGGAAAGGCCCUGCUUUUGUGGGGUGCUCGAGUGGCGAACGGGUGAGUAACACGUGAGUAACCUGCCCUUGACUUUGGGAUAACUUCAGGAAACUGGGGCUAAUACCGGAUAGGAGCUCCUGCUGCAUGGGGGGGGUUGGAAAGUUUCGGCGGUUGGGGAUGGACUCGCGGCUUAUCAGCUUGUUGGUGGGGUAGUGGCUUACCAAGGCUUUGACGGGUAUCCGGCCUGAGAGGGUGGCCGGCCACAUUGGGCCUGCGAUACGGCCCAGACUCCUACGGGAGGCAGCAGUGGGGAAUAUUGCACAAUGGGCGGAAGCCUGAUGCAGCAACGCCGCGUGCGGGAUGACGGCCUUCGGGUUGUAAACCGCUUUCGCCUGUGCCGAAGCGUGAGUGACGGUAAUGGGUAAAGAAGCACCGGCUAACUACGUG